rnacentral:rRNA from 1 species
GACAGAGGGUGCUAGCGUUGUUCGGAAUGACUGGGCGUAAAGGGCGCGUAGGCGGGAAUAUUAGUCAAGCGUGAAAGCCCCAGGCUUAACCUGGGAACAGCGCAUGAAACGGUAUACCUAGAGGACGAGAGAGGUAAGCGGAAUUCCUAGUGUAGAGGUGAAAUUCGUAGAUAUUAGGAGGAACACCAGAGGCGAAGGCGGCUUACUGGCUCGUAACUGACGCUGAGGCGCGAAAGCGUGGGGAGCAAAC